rnacentral:rRNA from 1 species
GACGAACGCUGGCGGCGUGCUUAACACAUGCAAGUCGAACGGAAAGGCCCUGCUUUUGUGGGGUGCUCGAGUGGCGAACGGGUGAGUAACACGUGAGUAACCUGCCCUUGACUUUGGGAUAACUUCAGGAAACUGGGGCUAAUACCGGAUAGGAUCUCCUGCUGCAUGGGGGGGGUUGGAAAGUUUCGGCGGUUGGGGAUGGACUCGCGGCUUAUCAGCUUGUUGGUGGGGUAGUGGCUUACCAAGGCUUUGACGGGUAGCCGGCCUGAGAGGGUGACCGGCCACAUUGGGACUGCGGUACGGCCCAGACUCCUACGGGAGGCAGCAGUGGGAAAUAUUGCACAAUGGGCGGACGCCUGAUGCAGCGACGCCGCGUGCGGGAUGCCGGCCUUCGGGUUGUAAACCGCUUUCGCCUGUGCCGAAGCGUGAGUGACGGUAAUGGGUAAAGAAGCACCGGCUAACUACGUG